UUAAGCGACUAAGCGUACACGGUGGAUGCCCUGGCAGUCAGAGGCGAUGAAGGACGUGCUAAUCUGCGAUAAGCGUCGGUGAGGUGAUAUGAACCGUUAUAACCGGCGAUUUCCGAAUGGGGAAACCCAGUGUGUUUCGACACACUAUCAUUAACUGAAUCCAUAGGUUAAUGAGGCGAACCGGGGGAACUGAAACAUCUAAGUACCCCGAGGAAAAGAAAUCAACCGAGAUUCCCCCAGUAGCGGCGAGCGAACGGGGAGGAGCCCAGAGCCUGAAUCAGUGUGUGUGUUAGUGGAAGCGUCUGGAAAGGCGCGCGAUACAGGGUGACAGCCCCGUACACAAAAAUGCACAUAUUGUGAGCUCGAUGAGUAGGGCGGGACACGUGGUAUCCUGUCUGAAUAUGGGGGGACCAUCCUCCAAGGCUAAAUACUCCUGACUGACCGAUAGUGAACCAGUACCGUGAGGGAAAGGCGAAAAGAACCCCGGCGAGGGGAGUGAAAAAGAACCUGAAACCGUGUACGUACAAGCAGUGGGAGCCUCUUAAUGGGGUGACUGCGUACCUUUUGUAUAAUGGGUCAGCGACUUAUAUUCUGUAGCAAGGUUAACCGAAUAGGGGAGCCGAAGGGAAACCGAGUCUUAACUGGGCGUUAAGUUGCAGGGUAUAGACCCGAAACCCGGUGAUCUAGCCAUGGGCAGGUUGAAGGUUGGGUAACACUAACUGGAGGACCGAACCGACUAAUGUUGAAAAAUUAGCGGAUGACUUGUGGCUGGGGGUGAAAGGCCAAUCAAACCGGGAGAUAGCUGGUUCUCCCCGAAAGCUAUUUAGGUAGCGCCUCGUGAAUUCAUCUCCGGGGGUAGAGCACUGUUUCGGCAAGGGGGUCAUCCCGACUUACCAACCCGAUGCAAACUGCGAAUACCGGAGAAUGUUAUCACGGGAGACACACGGCGGGUGCUAACGUCCGUCGUGAAGAGGGAAACAACCCAGACCGCCAGCUAAGGUCCCAAAGUCAUGGUUAAGUGGGAAACGAUGUGGGAAGGCCCAGACAGCCAGGAUGUUGGCUUAGAAGCAGCCAUCAUUUAAAGAAAGCGUAAUAGCUCACUGGUCGAGUCGGCCUGCGCGGAAGAUGUAACGGGGCUAAACCAUGCACCGAAGCUGCGGCAGCGACACUAUGUGUUGUUGGGUAGGGGAGCGUUCUGUAAGCCUGUGAAGGUGGCCUGUGAGGGUUGCUGGAGGUAUCAGAAGUGCGAAUGCUGACAUAAGUAACGAUAAAGCGGGUGAAAAGCCCGCUCGCCGGAAGACCAAGGGUUCCUGUCCAACGUUAAUCGGGGCAGGGUGAGUCGACCCCUAAGGCGAGGCCGAAAGGCGUAGUCGAUGGGAAACAGGUUAAUAUUCCUGUACUUGGUGUUACUGCGAAGGGGGGACGGAGAAGGCUAUGUUGGCCGGGCGACGGUUGUCCCGGUUUAAGCGUGUAGGCUGGUUUUCCAGGCAAAUCCGGAAAACCAAGGCUGAGGCGUGAUGACGAGGCACUACGGUGCUGAAGCGACAAAUGCCCUGCUUCCAGGAAAAGCCUCUAAGCAUCAGGUAACAUCAAAUCGUACCCCAAACCGACACAGGUGGUCAGGUAGAGAAUACCAAGGCGCUUGAGAGAACUCGGGUGAAGGAACUAGGCAAAAUGGUGCCGUAACUUCGGGAGAAGGCACGCUGAUAUGUAGGUGAAGCGACUUGCUCGUGGAGCUGAAAUCAGUCGAAGAUACCAGCUGGCUGCAACUGUUUAUUAAAAACACAGCACUGUGCAAACACGAAAGUGGACGUAUACGGUGUGACGCCUGCCCGGUGCCGGAAGGUUAAUUGAUGGGGUUAGCGGUAACGCGAAGCUCUUGAUCGAAGCCCCGGUAAACGGCGGCCGUAACUAUAACGGUCCUAAGGUAGCGAAAUUCCUUGUCGGGUAAGUUCCGACCUGCACGAAUGGCGUAAUGAUGGCCAGGCUGUCUCCACCCGAGACUCAGUGAAAUUGAACUCGCUGUGAAGAUGCAGUGUACCCGCGGCAAGACGGAAAGACCCCGUGAACCUUUACUAUAGCUUGACACUGAACAUUGAGCCUUGAUGUGUAGGAUAGGUGGGAGGCUUUGAAGUGUGGACGCCAGUCUGCAUGGAGCCGACCUUGAAAUACCACCCUUUAAUGUUUGAUGUUCUAACGUUGGCCCCUAAUCGGGGUUGCGGACAGUGUCUGGUGGGUAGUUUGACUGGGGCGGUCUCCUCCUAAAGAGUAACGGAGGAGCACGAAGGUUGGCUAAUCCUGGUCGGACAUCAGGAGGUUAGUGCAAUGGCAUAAGCCAGCUUGACUGCGAGCGUGACGGCGCGAGCAGGUGCGAAAGCAGGUCAUAGUGAUCCGGUGGUUCUGAAUGGAAGGGCCAUCGCUCAACGGAUAAAAGGUACUCCGGGGAUAACAGGCUGAUACCGCCCAAGAGUUCAUAUCGACGGCGGUGUUUGGCACCUCGAUGUCGGCUCAUCACAUCCUGGGGCUGAAGUAGGUCCCAAGGGUAUGGCUGUUCGCCAUUUAAAGUGGUACGCGAGCUGGGUUUAGAACGUCGUGAGACAGUUCGGUCCCUAUCUGCCGUGGGCGCUGGAGAACUGAGGGGGGCUGCUCCUAGUACGAGAGGACCGGAGUGGACGCAUCACUGGUGUUCGGGUUGUCAUGCCAAUGGCACUGCCCGGUAGCUAAAUGCGGAAGAGAUAAGUGCUGAAAGCAUCUAAGCACGAAACUUGCCCCGAGAUGAGUUCUCCCUGAGACUUAGAGUCUCCUGAAGGAACGUUGAAGACGACGACGUUGAUAGGCCGGGUGUGUAAGCGCAGCGAUGCGUUGAGCUAACCGGUACUAAUGAACCGUGAGGCUUAACCUU
rnacentral:rRNA from 3 species